rnacentral:rRNA from 1 species
CGUACGGUCUUGCUGGUGUGGAUGAGUGGCGAACGGGUGAGUAAUACGUGAGUAACCUGCCCUUGACUCUGGGAUAAGCCCGGGAAACUGGGUCUAAUACUGGAUGCUACAUGUCACCGCAUGGUGGUGUGUGGAAAGGGUUUACUGGUCUUGGAUGGGCUCACGGCCUAUCAGCUUGUUGGUGAGGUAAUGGCUCACCAAGGCGACGACGGGUAGCCGGCCUGAGAGGGUGACCGGCCACACUGGGACUGAGACACGGCCCAGACUCCUACGGGAGGCAGCAGUGGGGAAUAUUGCACAAUGGGCGAAAGCCUGAUGCAGCGACGCCGCGUGAGGGAUGACGGCCUUCGGGUUGUAAACCUCUUUCAGCAGGGAAGAAGCCACAAGUGACGGUACCUGCAGAAGAAGCGCCGGCUAACUACGUGCCAGCAGCCGCGGUAAUACGUAGGGCGCAAGCGUUGUCCGGAAUUAUUGGGCGUAAAGAGCUCGUAGGCGGUUUGUCGCGUCUGCUGUGAAAGCCCGGGGCUUAACCCCGGGUGUGCAGUGGGUACGGGCAGACUAGAGUGCAGUAGGGGAGACUGGAAUUCCUGGUGUAGCGGUGGAAUGCGCAGAUAUCAGGAGGAACACCGAUGGCGAAGGCAGGUCUCUGGGCUGUUACUGACGCUGAGGAGCGAAAGCAUGGGGAGCGAACAGGAUUAGAUACCCUGGUAGUCCAUGCCGUAAACGUUGGGCACUAGGUGUGGGGGACAUUCCACGUUUUCCGCGCCGUAGCUAACGCAUUAAGUGCCCCGCCUGGGGAGUACGGCCGCAAGGCUAAAACUCAAAGGAAUUGACGGGGGCCCGCACAAGCGGCGGAGCAUGCGGAUUAAUUCGAUGCAACGCGAAGAACCUUACCAAGGCUUGACAUAUACCGGAUCGUUCCAGAGAUGGUUCUUCCCCUUUGGGGUCGGUAUACAGGUGGUGCAUGGUUGUCGUCAGCUCGUGUCGUGAGAUGUUGGGUUAAGUCCCGCAACGAGCGCACCCUCGUUCAUGUUGCCAGCACGUGAUGGUGGGGACUCAUGGGGAGACUGCCGGGGUCACUCGGAGGAUGUGGGGAUGACGUCAAUCAUCAUGCCCCUUAUGUCUUGGGCUCACGCAUGCUAACAUGUCGUACAAAGGGCUGCGAUCUGUGAGUGCUCUAAUCGAAAGUCAGUCUCAGGUCGGAUUGAAGGUCUGCCA